AUCAAUUACAGCCUCCGUUGCCCAGAAACCUGUUCGGAAAAAACGGCAGCUCGGCGGUAUCUUCAGCACUGUCCUGGAUGGCGUGAAAAACCUGAUAAAUACAGGCACGGGUGUGGCUGGCCUCGGCACAGGAAUGCUCAACCUCGGUGGUGACGAAGGUAUUGGUGGCGUUGUCAGUGGAACAUUGAACCUGGUUUCUAUUGGCGCAGAAAUCUUGACUGGAAUUCUCGGUACCGUGCUAGGAAAUGGAGACCUGUUAGGUGGACUUCUGCCGUUUUAAUAAUCCUGCCUAAUUGUCUAAGGUUAGUUUUCUCAGUAUUUAUUUUUCCUCAGACGCAGACUAGAUCCAGUAAAUUUUAGAGAUUUUCGCUUGAUCUUUGUGAAUGCCCAUAAAAGUAGGACAUGCCAUUUAAUCGCCGCCAAACGAAAGUCCAAAGAAAACAUAAACAACGAAAAACAUGCUACUCUAUAUUCAUUUGUCUGUGGUAAUUGAAAAACAUCGUACUUAAUUACUCUUAUUUUUUGGAAGUUAUAUUUUAUGCUUAUGUCUUUGCUUUCUAACGAUGCAAAAAGUCGUUUUUAUGCCAUGAAUUUUAGGUUGCAAACAAGUCAGUUGUCACGUGCGCGUGUUCACGCUUUGGGAAAUAGUUAACUUUGAAUCCAGUUAUUAUGUUCUCUGAUCCUUAGCGGAAAAAUACAGCCUAUUAAAUUAAUCUCCGACAAACACCAAAUCUGUCAUUUCAAUAAAAAAAUAAGGACACCGGUUUAUAUCGAUAUGUUGACUAUAAAUACUCCUCGAUAACACGAUGUGCUUUCGAUUAAGCUUUUGUUGUUUUCAUGUUUAUCAUUAAACACCCUAAAGCAAUGUAACCCCAAAACAUGUGUUCUGUUUUUCUAUUCAAUUCUUUGAAAACCUCAAUAGUGUGUAUUGGCCUGUUCGCGCCAGGACAGGUAACUGCGCUGAAGCUUGUACAGUUCCUGUUUCGUUGUUUUAUAGUCGUAUUAUGAAGGCACUCCCACACUCACAAAAGCUUUUAUGAGGCGGGCUUGACUUCUAUAGUUUUCUCUUUUCGAGUCCCUCGCUUUGUAGCUUAUGGACAGGAUAAACCGAGACGAACAUUUGUGUUCAAAUAUUCCUUAUCAUGUGAUAGAUUGUAAUUCAUACUUGAGGGAACCAGGAACAAGGUGGAAGUACACAUGUAUAUUAUUAUUUAGGCGAUGCCAUGACUUUUUUGCUUGUUCUUUUAUUUCUUUAAACCUGGAAUACCUGAUUAUCCAGUCAUACUCAAUGUACGUUUAUGAAGUGAGGAGUAAAAGAGUAAAAACAUCAACUAUUAUGUUGUGGUUUUUUUAACUUCACAUGUGUGUAUAGUUACCGAUAUCAUGAGAAUAACAGGGCGUGGUGAGCCUAGAGCAGCUUAUGAUCAUUCAACAGUAUAUGGCAUUGUAGCACCAACCUAUAAGAAUGUAGAUUAUUUAUUUAUUUACAGAAACAACCUGCAGCGCCGAAACAUUACAGCAAGGAAACACAAAAUAAACACAUAAUCACGAACAUAAAUACAUUGUCAAAAAAACAAUAAAUAUUGCUAAAUAAAACGCAAACUCUUGAAUAUUAAAAUUUAGGAUACUGGAAAAAAAAUCCUACCUCAUUAGCAGUGAAUGCUGAUGCAAGCAGUAAAUUCCAAUCCGUUAUUACACGAGGAAAAAAUAAGUAUUCUUUAUAAUCAGCUCGGCAAAAUAUUUCUUUAACCCUAUUACAACGAUCUAUUCGGGUUGAAAAAUAGUUUGGUGAUUCAAGAUAUUGAUAUUUAUCAAUUCUAGUUAAGUUAGUAAAAACAGAAAAUAAAAACUU